AAUCAACGCUGGCGGCGUGCCUAACACAUGCAAGUCGAACGCGAAAGGGGCUUCGGCCCUGAGUAGAGUGGCAAACGGGUGAGUAACACGUGGGUGACCUGCCUUCGAGUGGGGGAUAACGUCCCGAAAGGGACGCUAAUACCGCAUGACAUCCUGCCUUUGGAAAGGCGGAGAUCAAAGCCGGGGAUCGCAAGACCUGGCGCUUGAAGAGGGGCCCGCGCCUGAUUAGCUGGUUGGUGAGGUAACGGCUCACCAAGGCGACGAUCAGUAUCCGGCCUGAGAGGGCGGACGGACACACUGGGACUGAGACACGGCCCAGACUCCUACGGGAGGCAGCAGUCGGGAAUCUUGCGCAAUGGGCGAAAGCCUGACGCAGCAACACCGUGUGGGCGACGAAGGCCUCCGGGUCGUAAAGCCCUGUUGUUGGGGACGAAGGGCGAAGGGUUAAUAGCCCCUAGCCUGACGAUACCCUUCGAGGAAGCCCCGGCUAACUACGUGCCAGCAGCCGCGGUAAUACGUAGGGGCGAGCGUUGUCCGGAAUUAUUGGGCGUAAAGGGCGCGUAGCGG
rnacentral:rRNA from 1 species